CUCUAAUUUUCUUGUGUUUGCUGCUCAGUCGUUCUGACUCUAGGAGACCCCAUGGACUGUAGCCUGCCAGGCUCCUCUGUCCAUGGGAUUCUCCAGGCAAGAAUACUGGAGUGGGUUGCCGUUCCCUUCUCCAGGGGAUCUUCCUGGCCCAGGGAUGGAACCCGGGU